rnacentral:ncRNA from 1 species
AUCUGAAAAGGGCAAAACCAUCUAAAGAUGGCGACGCAAAAUUUCCAGUCUAAAGGAAGUUUCCUAUGACCGCGGGAUUGCCAUG